rnacentral:lncRNA from 1 species
UUUGCUUUUAGUAGAUUUUUCUCCACUUCUUUAUUUUAAGCUUAUGUGUGUCAUUGCAUGUGAGAUGACUCUCUUGAUGACAGCAUACCAUUGGGUCUUGCAUCUUUAUCAAGCUUGCCAUUCUGUGCCUUUUAGGUGGGGCAUUUAGCCCAUUUACAUUCAAGGUUAAUAUUGACACAUGUGGAUUUGAUCCUGUUAUUGUGUCAUUAGCUGGUUGUUAUGCUAACUUGUUUGCGUAGUUGCCUUAUAGUGUCACCAGUUUGUGUAUUUAAGUGUGUUUUCUUGUAGUGGCUGGUAAUGGUCUUUCCUUUCCACAUUGAGUGCUUCAUUCAGGAGUUCUUGUAAGGCAGCUCUGGUGGUAAAGAAUGCUCUCAGUAUUUGCUUGUCUGAAAAAGAUCUUAUUUCUCCUUUGGUUAUGAAGCUUAGUUUGACUGGAUAUGAAAUUCUUGGUUGGAAUUUCUUUUCUUUAAGAAUGUUGAACAUAGGGUCCCAGACUCUUCUGGCUUGUAGGGUUUUGCUGAGAACUCUGUAGGUAGUCUGAAGGGCUUCCUUUUUUAGGUGGCCCUUUCUCUCUGGCUGCCUUUAACAUUUGUUCUUUCAUUUCAACCUUAGAGAAUCUGAUGAUUACGUGUCUGAGGGAUGAUCUUCUUGUGAAGUAUUUUCAGGGUUCUCUGUAUUUCCUAAAUUUGAAUAUUGGCCUCUCUAGCUAGGUUGGGGACAUUAUCAUAAAUGAUAUCCUGAAAUACAUUUUCCAAGUUGCUUAUACUUUCUUCAUGUCUUUCAGGAAUGCCAACGAGUUAUAGAUUCAGCUUCUUUACAUAAUCCCAUAUGUCUUGGAGAUUUCAUUUGUUCGUUUUCAUUCUUUUGUCUUUAUUUUUGUCUGACUGCCUUCUUUCACAAAGUCAGUCUUCAGACUCUGAGAUUCUUUCCUCAAUUAUGUCUAUUCUGCUGUUUAAACUUGCAAUUAUAUUCUGAAAUUCUUGUAGUGGGUUUUUCAGCUCUCUCAGGUUGGUUACACUCUCUUCUAUAACGGUUAUUUUGUCUGUCAACUUCUGUAUCAUUUCAUUGUGAUUCUUAGCUUUCUUAGAUUUGGUUUAAACACUCUCCUAGAUCUCCAUAAUCUUCAUUCCUAUCCAUAUUCUGAAUUAUAUUUCUGUCAUUUCAGCCACCUCAUGCCAGUUAAGAACCCUUGCUAGAGAACUAGUGCUAUCAUUUGGAGAAAAUAAAAUACUCUGGAUUUUUGAGUUGUCAGAGUUCUUUUGCUUGUUCUUUCUCAUCUUUGUGGGCUCAUGUUCCUUAAAUUUUUGAAGUUGCUUUCCUUUGAAUUUUUUUUCUUGUAUCCUAUUUGAUGACCUUUGGGAUUUGUUUGUGGUAUAAAGUGAUUUCAGUCAACUAGCUUCAUUUCUGGAAGAUUUUAGGUGGCCAAGGCUCAGUCCAGGACUUCUGUACUGCAUACUCUAACUCUGGGAGACUGGUAUCAAGCCCUGGCUUUUUUCUCUGGCUCCUCGAGGUUAGAAACCUGUUAUGCAGGAGGGGCCUAGUUGCUCCUGAACUGCCGGUAACAACACUCCGAUGAGUGGUGCCAGCCAAAGCACUUUGUGGGGCAGUGGCAGCAAGAUUCAUUCUAUUUCACAUGUAUCAGCAGCAGCAGCAGCAGCAGAACAGUGGUGUGCACACUCUUCAGCUGUGGCAGGUUCCUGGCAGUCUCAGGGUGCCAGCUUCUGUGCAGGUGCUUGCAGCAGUGGCAGUGGCAUCAUAGUUUGGGGGUCCAGGAGGCCUCUGAAAGCCACUGUAUAUUGGUUCACACUGGUGGUAGUGUUAGCACAGGAGUGGGCCACUGGGGGCCCAGGACUGUGUGUGCGCUUCAUACACAUUUACACAGGUGGUGGUGGCCACUCAGGGCAGGGACAGGUCUACUGUUCUCCAUGUAUAGUUUCACACUGGUGGCAAUGUCAGAGCAGGGGCUAGGUGCCGAUGGAGAUGGGGCUGGCAUGCUCUGUGUCCAACAAUGAUCAAAAGAUGAUGGCAGUGCAGAGCAGGGGAGGGAUGGCAGGAUGCAUGCACACCAGCAGCAGUAGCAUAGCAGAGUGCAUAGGCACACAUGUGCUGACAGGGAUGGGAAGGCAAGGUCCUCCCUUGCACAGCAGCACUGGCAAAACAAUGGAGAAAUAGCUGUGGGUGAGUACAUACUGGCAAAGUGGCACAUGGGAGGCUGCAGUGGAAGGAGGGUGCAGGCAGGCUGGUGCAUAUCUAUAAGGGCCUCUCUACUGGAGCAUUCUCCCAGUCAGGCAGAGUCUGCCAUCAUAGAAGUUAUGAUGCAGGUCCCCAGGAGGUACCUGAGGGCUGCACUGCAAGGAGGCACAGCCAGACUGGAGCCCUGGGAGUGGGCAGCAGACCAAGGGGUGCUCAGGUCAGACUUGCCCGGUCUCAUAGGCAAGACCAUCCUGUCAGAUUUCAGAUCUAACAUUUUCCCUAGAGUUAAAGUCUUGUAUAGGAGUAAGUGGAGCCUUGGGGAAUGGGUGUCCCUGGCCAUACUCCACUACAGAUGCUUCCACACCAAACCCUCUGGGCUCCACACUGGCUGGAGUUCUGCCCCUACCACUUCAAUGAGCAGCUCUCCCUGCCAACUCAAGUGUCUAGUGGUCAAGGGGUUUCCUCCUGCUGGGAUUCCAGAGGUCUAUGGUGAGAGCAAGUUGUUCUUUGCCUGUUCAACUCAAUCCUUCUGCAGGAGUGGUGGGGGGCCAGGAACAAAUCCUAGUAUGUGAUAGUCCUAUGCAAAGUUCUGAGCUUACUCCCCCUUCAUCCCAGCACCUGUGUCUUCCCUCCAUCCAUUUUCAAUGCUUCCCCUCUGAAGAUCUGCUAGGAGUAAGCCAGUCUUCCUGAUGUUUUGGUCCCUCAGUGGCAGAUAUUUCCUGGCUGCAUCUAGUUGGCCAUCUUGAAGCAGGAAACCUUGAGCAAAUGUUUUAAAACUUUGAUAUUUGAUAAACUUUCCAAAAUUGAAAUUUUCAAAUUCUAAUUCAAUCUUUUUGACCUCAAACUAACUCUUUGGAUAUUAGAGCUCCUGGAAAUCACAGACACAUUAGGCUUAUUUGUUAUGUUAAAAUCUCAUGGAAAUCAUUGUCAAAUAUGAAAUGGUGUUUAAUUUUCUUUGGGUUAUAGUUUUAGACAUGUAUUAUUAAUAUAUGUUCCAAAAUUUAUGAGAU